ACUCAAAGGAAUUGACGGGGACCCGCACAAGCGGUGGAGCAUGUGGUUUAAUUCGACGCAACGCGAAGAACCUUACCUGGGCUAGAAUGCGAGAGACGAAGUGCAAAACACUUUUUUCUGGGGUAAAACUCAGACUCAAAGCAAGGUGCUGCACGGCUGUCGUCAGCUCGUGUCGUGAGAUGUUGGGUUAAGUCCCGCAACGAGCGCAACCCUUACCGCUAGUUGCUACAGUUAGGCUGAGCACUCUAGUGGAACCGCUGAUGAUAAAUUGGAGGAAGGUGGGGAUGACGUCAAGUCAUCAUGGCCUUUAUGUCCAGGGCUACACACGUGCUACAAUGGCUGGCACAGAGGGCAGCAAACCCGCGAGGGGAAGCCAAUCUCAAAAAACCAGCCUCAGUUCGGAUUGCAGUCUGCAACUCGACUGCAUGAAGUUGGAAUCGCUAGUAAUCGCGGAUCAGCAUGCCGCGGUGAAUACGUUCCCGGGUCUUGUACACACCGCCCGU
rnacentral:rRNA from 1 species